rnacentral:rRNA from 1 species
GUCCACGCCCUAAACGAUGUCAACUGGUUGUUGGGUCUUCACUGACUCAGUAACGAAGCUAACGCGUGAAGUUGACCGCCUGGGGAGUACGGCCGCAAGGUUGAAACUCAAAGGAAUUGACGGGGACCCGGCACAAGCGGUGGAUGAUGUGGUUUAAUUCGAUGCAACGCGAAAACCUUAACCCACCUUUGACAUGUACGGAAUUUGCCAGAGAUGGCUUAGUGCUCGAAAGAGACCGUAACACAGGUGCUGCAUGGCUGUCGU